UGGAGGAAAGCAGGGGAUCGCAAGACCUUGCGCUGAUUGAGCGGCCGAUAUCAGAUUAGCUAGUUGGUGAGGUAAAGGCUCACCAAGGCGACGAUCUGUAGCGGGUCUGAGAGGAUGAUCCGCCACACUGGAACUGAGACACGGUCCAGACUCCUACGGGAGGCAGCAGUGGGGAAUUUUGGACAAUGGGGGCAACCCUGAUCCAGCCAUGCCGCGUGAGUGAAGAAGGCCUUCGGGUUGUAAAGCUCUUUCGGCCGGGAAGAAAUCGUAUCAGCUAAUACCUGGUGCGGAUGACGGUACCGGCAUAAGAAGCACCGGCUAACUACGUGCCAGCAGCCGCGGUAAUACGUAGGGUGCGAGCGUUAAUCGGAAUUACUGGGCGUAAAGCGUGCGCAGGCGGUUKUGUAAGACAGGCGUGAAAUCCCCGGGCUCAACCUGGGAACUGCGUUUGAAACUACAAAGCUAGA
rnacentral:rRNA from 1 species